rnacentral:rRNA from 1 species
GAUGAACGCUAGCGGCAGGCUUAACACAUGCAAGUCGAGGGGCAGCACGGAAGUGGUAACACUUUUGGUGGCGACCGGCGGACGGGUGCGUAACGCGUAUGCAACCUACCGCCCACUCGGGGAUAACGGAUGGAAACGUCCUCUAAUACCUGAUAAUAACAUUGGAGGCAUCUUCGGUGGUUGAAAGACUUUUGGUUGUUGAUGGGCAUGCGUAACAUUAGUUAGUUGGUGGGGUAACGGCUCACCAAGGCUACGAUGUUUAGGGGGACUGAGAGGUUAACCCCCCACACUGGAGCUGAGACACGGUCCAGACUCCUACGGGAGGCAGCAGUGAGGAAUAUUGGUCAAUGGGCGAAAGCCUGAACCAGCCAGGCCGCGUGCAGGAAGACGGCUCUAUGAGUUGUAAACUGCUUUUAUACGAGGGUAAUUGCGCGCACGUGUGCGUGUUUGAAAGUAUCGUAUGAAUAAGGAUCGGCUAACUCCGUGCCAGCCGCCGCGGUAA